AUUUUAUCUUCUUCCUGCAAUCCAGCUCCUAGCCCAUACCCAUGGUUUAUGCACAUGGGUGGCUAGAAGAAGAGGAGGCAACAGAGAGCCCAAAAAACAAUGUGUGGUUACUCCUGGGAGACUGCAGGUUGCCAACUGGGAGACAAAGAGCACCAGUGGAGGCUUGGCGGCUGGGAGCAGCAGACAGCAGGGGCUAUGGCCAAGAAUACUGGCAUGAGAAUCAGCCUCUGGAGCAGAUAUCUUCAGGCCUGAAUAAUGAGUCAGUGUUAUAAGCAAAAGGAGCCUCUAAGUCCCUGUCUUGCCACGUGUACAUAAGGAAGAAAAACAAGGAUGAGCCUGGCAGCAUUGUUUUUAAGAUUGUCUCUGUGGAUGCCUUCUGAGUGUCUACACAUGGAGUAAGGAAAAUGAAAAACCAUGUGUCCACAUCUUGGAACAUUAUGAAAAAAUCUGAAAACGAAAAGGAAGACAUAAAGAACAAAAGGAAAAUCACUUAUGAUCCCGAUUCCUUCAUUUAUUCAUUGAAAAAAGAAUCAUGUGGGAUAUGCUCCACAGGCCAGGCUGCAGAGACCAGCACAGUCAAAUCCUGUCCCUGAGCGACCUGUCUUCAAGUUCAGGAGACCGGCAGACCUUCAUAAGCAAAUAAGUCAUUGCUACAACCCCUGGUGGAGCGUGGAAUGUGGACCUGUGCCAAGAGAGAAGGGAAGGAGGGCGGAG